rnacentral:rRNA from 1 species
UACGGGGGGGGCAACCGUUGUUCGGAAUUACUGGGCGUAAAGGGCUCGUAGGUGGCCAACUAAGUCAGACGUGAAAUCCCUCGGCUUAACCGGGGAACUGCGUCUGAUACUGGAUGGCUUGAGUUUGGGAGAGGGACGCGGAAUUCCAGGUGUAGCGGUGAAAUGCGUAGAUAUCUGGAGGAACACCGGUGGCGAAGGCGGCGUCCUGGACCAACACUGGCACUGAGGAGCGAAAGCCAGGGGAGCAAACGGG